rnacentral:rRNA from 1 species
UGAAGUUGUUAGUAUAAUCAGAAAUUUUUUUAAACGGCUGCAAUUAAUAGUUGUGCUAAGGUAGCGUAAUCAUUUGCCCCCUAAUUAGGGGAAGGUAUGAAUGGUUUGACGUGGGAAAAGCUGUCUCUUUUAUAUAAAAAGAAGUUUAUUUUUGAGUGAAAAAGCUUAAAUGUUUGUAAAAGACGAGAAGACCCUAUCGAACUUAAAUUAUGUGUUUAAAUUUUAAAAUACAAAAAAUUUAGUUGGGGAAACUUAAAGUUAAAAGAAACGCUUUUUUGUUGUAAAGUGAUCCUGUAUUAUGGAAAAAUGAAAAAGUUACCGUAGGGAUAACAGCGCUUUCUUCUCUGAGAGGACUAAUUAAAGAGUUGGUUGCGACCUCGAUGUUGGAUUAAGGUUUCUUUUUGGGGUAGGAGUUAAAAAAGUAAAACUGUUCGUUUU